GAUCCUGGCUCAGAACGAACGUCUGGCGGCAGGCCUAACACAUGCAAGUCGAGCGCGCCCUUCGGGGUGAGCGGCGGACGGGUUAGUAACGCGUGGGAACGUACCCUUUGGUAGGGAAUAGCCACUGGAAACGGUGAGUAAUACCCUAUGAGCCCUUCGGGGGAAAGAUUUAUCGCCAAAGGAUCGGCCCGCGUUAGAUUAGGUAGUUGGUGGGGUAAUGGCCUACCAAGCCUACGAUCUAUAGCUGGUUUUAGAGGAUGAUCAGCAACACUGGGACUGAGACACGGCCCAGACUCCUACGGGAGGCAGCAGUGGGGAAUCUUGGACAAUGGGGGCAACCCUGAAUCCAGCCAUGCCGCGUGAGUGAAGAAGGCCUUAGGGUCGUAAAGCUCUUUCGCCUGUGAAGAUAAUGACGGUAGCAGGUAAAGAAACCCCGGCUAACUCCGUGCCAGCCGCCGC
rnacentral:rRNA from 1 species